CAAUACAACCAUUUAAAGUGAAUUAAUGCAUGUAUAAUUGUGUUAAGAUAUAAAGCAAAUACAUUAGCACAUCAACAGAAUAUCCUUAUGGUAAAUGGAUAAUUAUGACUUAUUUGCCCAUCAAAAAACACAGAAAAUUAAAUUGCCAUGCCAACAGGUCAGUGACAUGCAAAUAAGGAAGAUCAGAGGUCACUUACAUAGGAUAGGUAGCAUAGGGACCUGACAUCAGUUUUAUGUAAAAAAAAAAAAAAAUGGAAAAUGAAACUGAUUUUACUUUUAAUAAAUGCAUCAUUCAAAGUUACAGUACUGGAACCAAAUAUCUAAUAGUGAUAUGUUACAAAAUCGCACAGCAAGUGUACAAAUAUACAAGUGAAUUAAGUAUAAAAAUAAAUAGCAUCUUAUUUCAGCAUAACAAUUUAACAUUCUCAAAACAGUUUGCAUAUACAUAACACAUAUUAUUUAACCAACACAAUAUUUCAUUGUGGUAUUUUUACACAAUAACUUGACAAACUUUGAAAUAUAUUGAUAAUUGAUAGUGAUACAGUAUGGACUGGAUAAGCUAAAUAAUCUUUUCUACAAAUUAUAUAUAAAAUUCUAUGCAUUCUCCCCUUGGUGUUCAAUCAUAUCUCCAAACUCUGCAUCAACAGUCUUAAAACACUCAUUCCGUUAGCAAUACUUCGUCAAUAACUUUUCAUUGAACAUCUCGUGUCCAAUGAAACUGAUCAGAAAUUCUGUUACUAAAUAUAAAAGUUCACAUUAAGAAAUACUGUCAUACCAUUUUAAAUUAUUUAGAUAAAUGUACUCUUUUUACAUAUACUGUAAUAUGCAUCUUGGGUAUCUAUUUCCUAAAUAUUGUCCACCUAGCAAUUGCAAGUCUAAACAGUUUUAACAUGUUUAGGUGCAUCAGGAGAAUAUCAAAAUACAUUAAGUGCUCUCACUUACAAGAGACUAAUUAUUAAACGUAUGACACCAAUAUCUAAAGGUUGGUAAUACCUAUUUUGAUUUCAGUAAAUACUUCUGAUUUCUUUGGUAAAGAUGAAACAGCCAUUGUACAUCGUGUUUAAGGAGCUUGUAAUAAACUAUAGGAUGCUGAAGUUACUGGAAUGUUAAAUAUAUGUGGUUAUAUUAGUCCUUGAUAACAUACGGAAUGUGACAGAGAAUUUCGUGACCAGGUUUCUUUAAAAAAUGUAGGCAUAUAUAGGUGAAGGGACAAAAAGGCACGUGUUUGUGACCAUACCAACUACACUAUUUUCUGAGAUCCAUCAUUUGUGUUUAUCGUUUAUCUAUACCCUCAUACUGUAUUUAUAUGCAGAACAGCCCAACCCAGCGAGCAACAUAAUACAGCUACAUGUACAAGUAAUGCAAAGCAGGGAUAAAUGUGUAA